CAUAUAUAUUAUAUGUAUAUUAAAUGCAUGUACAUCUUAAUUUUAAUGCAAAUAUAUAUAUAUAUAUUUGAGAUGAGGUCUUGCUGUGUUGCUCAGGCUGGUCUUGAACUCCUGGGUUCAAAAAUUCCUCCACCUCAGCCUCUCAAGUAGCUGGGAUUAUAGGCAUGUGCCACUGCACCUGGCUAAUUCAUAUUUUUAUACAGAUUCAGUACAUGUUUCUAUUUAAGAUUAAGUACAAGGGAUUAAAAUGUACUCAAUAAAAAAAGAUUAGAGAUUAGAAACACAUUUUAAUUAGAAAAUUGCCACCUCAAAUUCAUUUAGGAAGUAGGCAGGUAUAAAUAAAAAAUAGAACCACUUAGAGACUUUUCUGAAUAAGUGGCCCUGGGCUGGAAUUCUGGAGGGCUGUAUUCUGGUCACACCCCUAACUCUGAUUUUCCUUGUGACUUUUAGUAAUUGAUGGAUUCUUCAGGAGCUAGAAACAUAUUGGAUGAUCAAUAAAUACCUUUGAAUUUCAUUAAGUCCAGGAAAAAGCAUUUCAGGUCUUUUUUUCCCACAGGAUGAUUUUCAAUGCCAUUCAGAGGAAAUCUUGGGACAAACCCGGGAAAUGACAGGCUCCUGGCUCCUAUCUUUGGAGAUUUCAGAUGUUCUGGAUCAAGGGACCCUCGUGGUUACAUCAGGACUACCCAGAUAAUCCUUGAUACUCUCCUCAUCUCAAGGCCCUUAACUUCAUCCUAUCUGCAAAGUCCCUCUUGCCAAGUAAGGUAAUAUAUUCACAUGUUCCCGAGAUUAGGAUGUAGAGAUCUUUGAGGGAGGGGCAUUAUUCUGCCUACCACUCUUCUUAUUUAGAUUAUGUAUUUCUUUAAAAAUUAAGAAGCAUAAAAUUUAUUACUAUAUUAUAAUUUUCAUCAUGAUAAAAUCGAGGUUGGAGUGUAGUAGAUUGUUAGCAAAAAUGGCCACAAUAAUUUCCUUUCCUAUCGGACAUGGCAGCUCAUGAUGAGGUAGGGGGAAGGAUUGCUUGAAGCAAGGAAUUCAAGACCAGCCUAGGCAACUAAGAAAGAUUUCCUCUCUUCAAAAACUUUUUUGUAAUUUUUUUUUUUUUAAAACAGGAUCUUAAUCUGUUGCCCAGGCUGGAGUGCAGAGACAUGGUCUUGUCUCACUGCAAGCUCUGCCCCCUAGUCCCAGGUGAUCCUCCCAUUUCAGCCUCCUGAGUAGCUGGGACUACAGGUACAUGCCACCACACCUAGCUAACUAAAAAAAAAAAAACUUUUUUGCUGAGGCUGGUUAUGAACUCCUGGGCUCAUGUGAUCCACCUGCCUCAGCCUCCCACAGUACUGGGAUUACAGGCAUAAGCCACUAUGCCUGGUCAAAACAUUUAAAAAAUAAUAAUUUCCUUUCCUGUAUCCAUACUGUUAUGGAAUCCCCUCUCAUGUGAACUCUGAACUUGGCCAUAUGACAUAAUUUGUUCAGUAAGACUAUUGCAAACGUGAUGGAAGCAGAUACUUGAAAAAUGCUUGCACACUAGGACUUGCCUUCUCUUGUACUCUUCAGCCCUUUCUGACUACCAUGUGAAGCGGCCUGGUGCAUAUACUAAGUGAGAAGAUACAUGUAACCUAGGUACCUUUGUCACCAAGCCAAUAGCUAAUACGGGAGGUAGCACCAAUCACUAAGCAGCACAAGCCACCAGACAUUUAGAUGAGGCCACCUGAGGUCAUCCAGGCAGCAGCUGACCUGAUAGAAGCCACAGGUAUGUGAAAGAGGCCAGCAGAGGGAAGACAAGCUGGGCCAGACCAGAAGAAUUGCCUGGCUGAUCAACAGAAUUAUGAACCAGAUUAAAUUUUGGGGGGAUGGUUGGCUAUGUGGCAAAAGUUAAUUAAUGUGGGAAGGGAUAGGUAAACUAGAAACCACAGUUGAGAGUAAGGCUGAAUUAAGGAAAGUUUAGUUGCAAGGGAAUGGUGACAAAGAAGAGCGCUUAAAGGCAAAAUCAUAGACAAGGCUUUUUGGAGAGAUCGUUUGCACAAGUACAGGAGGGUACAUUGAGUCUGACCCCUCCUUCCUCCUCCACCUUCAUGCCCUGACUCUGUGGAUGUUCAAUGUCACAAGAAAUGCUCCAAUAAUCACUUUCAUGUAAUGGUAUAAUGUCAUAGGAAAGAGCGUAAAAAUUCCCUGUUCUGAUUCUCCUAUUUAAUGGGAAGCUCAAAAAGAAAAAAUGACUUGCCUGUUUCAUCCUGAAAGUUUAGCUUAUACAGCGAUGUGCCACAUAAAGAUAUUUUGGGAUCGACAAUGGACCGCAUAUGUGACAGGUGGUGCCAUAAGAUUACAAUGGAGCUGAAAAAUUCCUGUUGCCUUGUGACCUGUUGCCUGUAGCCAUGGUACUGUUGUGGCACAAUGCAUUGCAUUUGUGGUGAUGCUGAUAGAAACAAACCGACUGUGCUGUGGGUGUUUCAAAGUAUAGAACACGCAAUUAUGUACAGUUUAUAGUACUUGACAAUGAUAAUAGAUGCCUAUGUCGCUGGUUUGUGUAUUUACUUUUUAUCAUUAUUUUAGAGUGUUCUCCUUCUACUUAUUAAAAAAAAAAACU
ensembl:lncRNA